rnacentral:rRNA from 1 species
UACAGAGGUCUCAAGCGUUGUUCGGAUUCAUUGGGCGUAAAGGGUGUGUAGGUGGCGCGCUAAGUCGGGUGUGAAAUUUCGGAGCUUAACUCCGAAACUGCAUUCGAUACUGCGGUGCUUGAGGACUGGAGAGGAGACUGGAAUUCAUGGUGUAGCAGUGAAAUGCGUAGAGAUCAUAAGGAAGACCAGUGGCGAAGGCGGGUCUCUGGACAGUUCCUGACACUGAGGCACGAAGGCCAGGGGAGCAAACGGG